rnacentral:rRNA from 1 species
GGGUCAGGAGGUUGGUCGUGCCACCGGUACGUACUGGUCUCACUGAUUCCUCCUUCCUGAAGAACCGUAAUGCCAUUAAUUUGGUGUUGCGGGGAAACAGGACUGUUACUUUGAAAAAAUUAGAGUGUUUAAAGCAAGCUAACGCUUGAAUACAUUAGCGUGGAAUAAUGAAAUAGGACGAUCGAUCCUAUUUUGUUGGUUUCUAGGAUUGACGUA